AUUGAACGCUGGCGGCAGGCUUAACACAUGCGAGUCGAGCGGGGUGAUGGUGCUUGCACUAUCACUUAGCGGCGGACGGGUGAGUAAUGCUUAGGAAUCUGCCUAUUAGUGGGGGACAACAUCUCGAAAGGGAUGCUAAUACCGCAUUCGUCCUACGGGAGAAAGCAGGGGAUCACUUGUGACCUUGCGCUAAUAGAUGAGCCUAAGUCGGAUUAGCUAGUUGGUGGGGUAAAGGCCUACCAAGGCGACGAUCUGUAGCGGGUUUGAGAGGAUGAUCCGCCACACUGGGACUGAGACACGGCCCAGACUCCUACGGGAGGCAGCAGUGGGGAAUAUUGGACAAUGGGGGGAACCCUGAUCCAGCCAUGCCACGUGUGUGAAGAAGGCCUUAUGGUUGUAAAGCACUUUAAGCGAGGAGGAGGCUCUUUUGGUUAAUACCCAAGAUGAGUGGACGUUACUCGCAGAAUAAGCACCGGCUAACUCUGUGCCAGCCGCCGCAGUAA
rnacentral:rRNA from 1 species